GAACGCGAAGAACCUUACCAGGUCUUGACAUUGAUGGACAGAACUAGAGAUAGUUCCUCUUCUUCGGAAGCCAGAAAACAGGUGGUGCACGGUUGUCGUCAGCUCGUGUCGUGAGAUGUUGGGUUAAGUCCCGCAACGAGCGCAACCCCUAUCUUAUGUUGCCAGCACUUCGGGUGGGAACUCAUGAGAGACUGCCGCAGACAAUGCGGAGGAAGGCGGGGAUGACGUCAAAUCAUCAUGCCCCUUAUGACCUGGGCUACACACGUACUACAAUGGGAGUUAAUAGACGGAAGCAAUACCGCGAGGUGGAGCAAACCCGAGAAACACUCUCUCAGUUCGGAUCGUAGGCUGCAACUCGCUACGUGAAGUCGGAAUCGCUAGUAAUCGCAGGUCAGCAUACUGCGGUGAAUACGUUCCCGGGUCUUGUACACACC
rnacentral:rRNA from 1 species